GAGAGAGUGCCGUCGGUGCGGUGAGGUAGUAGGUUGUAUAGUACUGCAUUACAACAUUUGGGAGGGACUGUAUAGCCUGCUAACUUUCCGGACCGCCGGCCG
rnacentral:pre_miRNA from 1 species